CAACACAAGAUCCGAGCCGCAGCUGCAACCUACACCACAGCUCACGGCAACGCCAGAUCCUUAACCCACUGAGUGAGGCCAGGGAUCAAACCCACAACCUCAUGGUUCCUAGUCGGAUUCGUUGUGCUGUGCCAUCAUGGGAACUCAUAUGCCAGUUCUUUAUAAAACAGGCCUUAAAAAAUUCCUGUCCAUGCUUUCAAAGAUGAUUUUAAAAUUUACAUAUAUUGAACCUUUCACAGAUAAAUUUUUACUUAAUGCCAAAUAAAUGGAGAUAACCACAACAUUUAAUUCUUCAAAUCGUAGUCACUUGAGAAUUUGGUUUUUAAGUCCCAUCUUUAUGGCCAUUGAACAUUUUAUACACAUAUUUACAGGAUUGAUACAGAAUAUAUUCAUUUCAUAAAUGCAGUGGUCUUCUGAAACACUUGAACGUUAAAUUUAGUUUUCACAAGAGUAUUUUUGCAUUAGCAUAAACAGCCCACUUCUGAUACUUUGUGUGAAAGGCUUUCCUUACAGUAGAUUUGUGCCCUGGAUUUUGCCCUGAGAUUUGAGCGAGGAAGGCGCUUGCAAUUGGACAGUAGUGAACAUAUAGCUGUCUCGGGGGCAGGUGAUUUAUUCUGGAAUCCAUUUGCGUGUUGACAGCAAGUUAAUAUUCAUGUAUUUAAAACUUUCAUAAAUAAAUUGCCACCUUUACAUUUUGUUUUCAGUGGCUUAUAUUUCACAGGUUUAAAGGUUUCAAAGUUCAAAAGUCCCUUUUUAUUUAUUUUUGUAUAACUUUUGCUAUAAGAAUAAAUAAAAAGUCCCUUUUUAUUUAUUUUUGUAUAAGAACUGUAUAAAAAUAUUCUUAUCAUGGAAAAUUUCAAACACAGGUCUUUUUAUGCCAUGUAUUUCUGGCACUUGUGUGAGUGUUAUGUUCAGUUCUGGUGUCUGGCUGCCCUGAAAUGUGGGGUGCUAGCCUUUCGCCCUCCUUCCUGUUGGAGCUCCUAUCCCCGGACCUGGAGAUCUGGACGGCCCAGGAGUCUGACAUUUUAAAGCCUUGGCCUCUGGUUGACUAGCAAGUAGGUAAUUAAAACAUAAAGACAGAAAAGAUAGCUGACAGAGGGAGAAGGCAAGAAGGAGACAGAAAGAAAGGAUUAAUAGUGCUGGGAGCCAGGGCCCCUUGGAGAGGAAGACUUGCUCCUGUCACUGCUCCUGUUGCUGCUGUCAGGCAUUUAGGAGUUCUUGGCUGAGUAUUUGACUCUGUGAAGGUGGUGGGAGGUGGGGCGAGGAGGGCUGCUUUGCCUCUGGAUGUAAAUAUAAGACUUUCCCUGGACUUUCCACAGGCUCAUUAUUGCAGAUUAAACAGAACACCAAAAUCAGCCCUGGCUGUACCAAGGCUUGCGAGGAUUUUAUCAAUGUUAUUUGCUUUUCCUGUUUUAUUUAUCUAUUUUAUAUUUACUUACCAUUUACUAUCAUAGGUGACAUUGUUUACUGUGCAUGUUUGUUUUUAUUUUUUUACCAAUACUCCUACCCAAUAAUUUUCCUAGUUUGUGAAGUAAUUCUUCACCUCCCCACUUCUUUGAACCAUUCUUCCCUAAAACUACCUCUUUUAGGGCAGAAAUUUUGCUCGGCCCUUAGUGCUAUGUAUUUGCCAAGCAGGAGCAGCCAAGUUGUGUGUGUGGUGCUAGGACUACAUAACACAGGCUUUUUUCUUGGUGCCAGAGAUCGAAAGAGAGGUCACUAAAAUACCCAUGUUCAAGUUGACUGAUGCUCUUAUUGCUAAGAUUCACCUUGAGAAGCCCGAGGUUAUCACCCUAUGCUCUCUGUUAGGGUGAAAAAGCCCUGUCCCUGCUUGGUGUUGCUGUCAAAUGCUGAUGCUUCCUUAGUUUGACAUUCUUGAUUGAUAGGCUGACCAUACAAUUUGUGGUCUAAACAGAGAUGCUUUUGAGAGUGAAAGAGGGGGUUACUGAUGAUUAUUCUGGAACAAUAGGUGUAAACUGGGACUGUCUCUGUUGAAAUGGGGACUGAUCACAGUUUUAUCAUUUUCUUAUACAGAGGAUGAGAGUCCUGUUACGAUAUGAUUCCCACUGGUGAGUGUUUUGUGGCUUAUUCUUAACUUGGAUACAAUGAUGUGUGAUUCAGUAUUGGAUGCAUAAAGGCAUUGACAGCUGGCUGGGAAGGGUAGUCAGAAGAGAUGAUGCUGAGUCAGAGCCCCUGUCAAUAGUGGUCUGUUUCAAAACAGACCUAAAGUACAUUCAGAGGCCACCCCCCCACCCCGCCCCAGCUCCUUGAGUGGCUGAAUUGUUGGAUUUAUAUGUGAGCUAAGUGGGGCUGGAGCCGUGAAUCAGGAUUUGUCAACACUCAGGACCUGGCCUGUGUCCUUCCCUUCUUCACAAGAACUCAGAGGGGGUCUUUGUCUCCCCCCCAACCCCCACCCCAUCACAGAGGAAGGGUGGUGAAAAAGGCUUUUUAACUUCCUCCUGUUGUGAGUGAGUGGAGGGUUAUUUGGGUCGGAGCCUCUCCCACUCCUGGCCAGCAUCCGCCGGUCCCCUGCCUGGGUCUCAUGUCCCAGGAGGAAGAAAGCGCUCUCCAGCACUUGGAGUCUCUGACUGCAACCCCUGGCAACUUCUUUGCCUUGUGUUAAAGGAAUUGUUCUGUAGUUGAUCUUAAUUGCUCCAUAAAUGCUAGGUUAAAUGCAUGUUUAAAUGCAAUUUUAAAACCACCUAAAAUACUUACUUUAUCUGAAUUUACUGAAUUCUCCAAAAGGAUAAGCAUUUACAUAAACAAAUCAGAAGUAAUUUCUGUUAACAUGUGUAUUUUUCUUAAAAUCUGGAUUUUCUACACAUUUUAUAUAUACAUCCUUUAAAUUCACCUGAUUUUGGAAGGCAUGUUGGGUAAAGUACCAAUUAACUGUAAUACAGAUGUAGUCAAGCAUGUGCAGUAUAUUCCUUAGUUUUCUGGUACACCCUCCUCAGGAAACCUAGAUAAAAAGCUGGUUACCUGCUGGUAUUUUCAGUCUGUGUGGCCUGAAUUUCCAAACUGAUCAUUACAUACUGCCUGGAGCUUCCUGUUCUCAUUGGAUUAAAAAGAUUAUUUUGAAGGGGAUGGGACAAAGAGGCUAAACUGACUUAACCGCACUAUACUGGGCUGAGAGUGUUGAGUUAAAUAGAAACUGUCAGUAUUUUUACCUGAAUAAGAUUU
ensembl:lncRNA